AACAAUUCAGUUUUCAGUUGUAUUGGUCGUUUUGAUGUUGGUAUCUUUGGAAUUGUUCUUACCGCCUGUGGAAGCUGGUUGGUGGGGCGGAGGAAAAAAAUACAAGGUGGUAUUAAAAGAUGAAAACGGUAAAUACAAAAUCGUAGAGACAAGCAGCAAAAAGCGAGAGGAAAAGCGAUACACAAUGCUAAGAAAUGGUGGAUAGAAUUUCUACAUCAACAUACAAUUGCAGGAAAACCAAGCAAGAAUGGAGAGAUAUUAAUAAAUCUUUUUGCUCUCAUAA